UACGAAGGGGGCUAGCGUUGUUCGGAAUUACUGGGCGUAAAGGGCGCGUAGGCGGUACUUCAAGUCAGGCGUGAAAGCCCCGGGCUCAACCUCGGAACUGCCUUCGAUACUGGCGAUCUUCGAGUCCGGGAGAGGUGAGUGGAACUCCGAGUGUAGAGGUGAAAUUCGUAGAUAUUCGGAAGAACACCAGUGGCGAAGGCGGCUCACUGGCCCGGUACUGACGCUGAGAUACGAAAGCGUGGGGAGCAAACAGG
rnacentral:rRNA from 1 species